AAAAGCCAUUAUACCUACAUUAUUUGCAUAUAAUACUAAGCUGUUAAAAUAGCUUAAUCAUUGUUGGCAUGAUUUUAUAAAUCACGUUUUAAUGUGUUUAACAUACC